rnacentral:rRNA from 1 species
CCUACGGGAGGCUGCAGUGGGGAAUAUUGGACAAUGGGGGGAACCCUGAUCCAGCCAUGCCGCGUGUGUGAAGAAGGCCCUCGGGUUGUAAAACACUUUCAGUGAGGAAGAACGCCUGGUGGUUAAUACCCAUCAGGAAAGACAUCACUCACAGAAGAAGCACCGGCUAACUCCGUGCCAGCAGCCGCGGUAAUACGGAGGGUGCGAGCGUUAAUCGGAAUUACUGGGCGUAAAGCGCGCGUAGGUGGCUUGAUAAGCCGGUUGUGAAAGCCCCGGGCUCAACCUGGGAACGGCAUCCGGAACUGUCAAGCUAGAGUGCAGGAGAGGAAGGUAGAAUUCCCGGUGUAGCGGUGAAAUGCGUAGAGAUCGGGAGGAAUACCAGUGGCGAAGGCGGCCUUCUGGACUGACACUGACACUGAGGUGCGAAAGCGUGGGUAGCAAACAGGAUUAGAUACCCUAGUAGUC